UAGAAAACCUAGCCCCUUGCAUUUUCCCCAAAUCGAUGUCAAGAUGUUCCUAGCCACCCAAUUUGCGAAGUCUUUUCUAAGUUUAUUCAUCAUCAUCUCCAUAAUACCAGUGUUUGUAGGAUGCAAUGGAGCCCAUUUAUCCAAAAUUUCCAUAAUUCAUACCAGAAGAUUUCCUCAAUUUGGGGUUAUAAACUCUCAAAAGAAAAGUUUGAGUUAUAAGAGAAAGAAUCGUUCUCACUCUGAAUUUCCCCAAAUAAAUUCAUCUUCUUCUUCAGUUAAGAUUUCGCUCUAUGUUGUUGAUGGUAUUAAAGAAUUUUUUUUCUUCCCUUCAAGUUCAAAGUGGGUUUCUUAGCUAGGGUUUUAAGGGUUUCGGGUUUCAUUGUAGUGGAUGCCUGGAUUUGGUUCUUCUCUGCUUUUCGCAUCUCGUUGCUGCUCAUCAAUGGUGCUCAAGUGGGUGUUGGUGUUUUUUUCUCAAAAGAUUUUAGGGUUUUGGUGAGUAGGAAGUCAUUGUAUUGUGACUUCCUUGUUCUUUCAGAACCCUAACUUCCCUUUUCUGGGGUCAAAGUGAGUGGGAAGUUGAAGUUACUUGUCUCCAUUGUUAUCUGACAAUGGAAGCUUGAAUUAGCUGCUAAGGUGGAUGUUUUCCACUUCUAGAUUUCGAGCUAAGAUGAGGUUGCAAAUUACAGCUCUGUUGCAUCUAUUAAGCAAGGCUUCCCGGUUACAUUUUGUCUUUUUUCUAAAGGCGCUCAUUUUCCCUAGUCGUACGUUCUUACAACAGCAUCUUCUACAAAAUUAUCAUGUUGAGUAUUUCUAUAUCACUAUACAGGUUGUCACUCACUCGAGUGCUUCCCAUA